AAUAACGUACUUAAAGCUGGAACCA
rnacentral:piRNA from 1 species